GCGCCUGUAGCUCAGCUGGAUAGAGCACCGCCCUUCUAAGGCGGGUGUCAGGGGUUCGAAUCCCUUCAGGCGCGCCA
rnacentral:tRNA from 2 species